AAUAACAAUAUAAGUAAUAACUCCUUCUUCAGAUCUCUACAUCUCCUGCCCUUUUCUACAUGAAGCUAUUUAAAUGUCUUUCAGUGAUACUGUAAAUAUUUUUCAUAUUAAGCAAAAUUAAAAUCAUUAACAUGGCUGCAUACUGUGAAAUAAUUCUAGCUUUUGAGGAAAAUUAUUUGUGCCAUUGAUUUUAACCUAUAAUGGCAUUCUUUAUAAUAACAAAUAAUAUAUUUGACUGUUUUUAAACUUAGGUAUUCAAAUGAAAAACAAAAUCAGCAAUAUUUCAUAAAGGUUUUUAUUAAUUUUAUUGAACAAUGCAUAAGCAAUAAAAUAGAAAUAAUGAAUCUCUAACCAGCCUGAAAAGAAGGACCUGUCAUUGGUCCUUUUAAACAGGGCAAGAAAAUAGAAUCACCUAUAUCUGUAAAGAAAAUAAAAGACAAUCUGCAAAAUUACAUACAAGGAAAAAAAUCAUACACAAGCUAAAGAUAUAAGAAAUCAAGUUAAGUAUACAGCAGAACAAAGAAAAAAAAAGAAUAAGCAUAAUAUUUCCCCUUUUUUGUGCUGCACACCAGGUGCAUUAUAAAAAGCUUCUUAAAAGAUUUGCAAUUGUGCAGAAUAGCAACACUGAAUUACUGUAAACUGAGUAUAAAAGAUUAGUAAAUGAUCACAAGCCUCUCUCCAUGAACAGAAUUAGGGAAAUAUUCAGAAUUUGUAUGCAUUUGUAUGCAUAAAAAAAGGCUGUAUGGCUGUAUUUAAACAGAAGGUAAGUUGAAGUCAAAUAUAUGUGACUCUGCUUUAACAUCACCCAAACCCUCCCAAGGAUCACCAAUGUCUAGUAACAUUUGACAGUUAUUGUUGUUAUUGUUGUUGUUGUUGUUGUUGUUUGUAUUCCCAUUUGCUGGUUGCUCGUCUGAAGCCACACUGUCUAUCACUGUCACCUUUACACCAUCUGUUUCUCCACUUUCUUCAUUUCCUUUCAGGUUCUCACAUUCAUUUUCCUUCACCUGUUCCGCAUUCUCAGUUUCUUCAUUAUAAUUCAUGUCUCCAUUCAUCUCCAAAACCUCUUUCUCAUCUUUUAUUUCUGAUUUACCUUCUGCUUGCUCUGUCUUCUGUUCUAUACCAUCUGUGACUUUAGGUCCUUGCUCCAAAGCUGCUGAAACGUCAGUUUGCACUUGAGAAGUUGCUGUUGGUUGCACUGAGACCUUCUCUGUAGGUAAGGCUUUCAUUGGAUCACCACCAUGUUCUUUUUGGUUUUCAUUAAUGAUGUAAUUUUUUGUUGGUGAGGUUAGCAUUGGCUCUUUGUUUUCAGUUUCUUGUGACUCCUCUUUAGGGGGCCAAGUAGGCUUCACUACUUUGAGCUCUUCUUCCAGAGUAAAGCUCUUCUUUGGUGUUUCACUCUGAGGUGGCCAAACAAUUGCAAUUUUACUUUUUGGCUUUUUGGCAUUAUCAUCCAACUCACUUGCAUCUUUAAUCUCAGCUGGGAAUGAAUCAUUUUCUUUUGAGACGUGCAAUGCUUUGGUUUCAGAUUGCACUGGAGGAACAGUAUUGACUUGAUCAACAUGAACUUUUUCUGAUGUAUUCUUCUGAUUUUUUGCACUCCAAAGCUCUCUGUGAGGCUUUUCUCCAAAUCCCUCAUCAUAGUUUCCUUUGGACUUAAACAACUGUUUGUAGUGGGGUUUGCAGUACAUUCGUCCAUGGAGAGGGGCG
ensembl:lncRNA